GGUGGGGGUCUUCAACGUUUAUUGGACACCAACCACCUCCGCCGGUGGUUUUAUUAUAGACGCGAGGCGACAAACCGCACCAUCGGAGAGGGACCUGGUAGGAGGAGCGGGGAGUCGAUUGUUUUGAAAGGUUGUCAUCUAAUUCAAAAA
ensembl:ncRNA C25F6.9 ncRNA